rnacentral:rRNA from 1 species
UNUGGUCUGUCACUGACGCUGAGGCUCGAAAGCGUGGGUAGCGAACAGGAUUGGAUACCCUGGUAGUNCACGCCGUAAACGAUGAGUGCUAGGUGUUAGGCCCUUUCCGGGGCUUAGUGCCGGAGCUAACGCAAUAAGCACUCCGCCUGGGGAGUACGACCGCAAGGUUGAAACUCAAAGGAAUUGACGGGGGCCCGCACAAGCGGUGGAGCAUGUGGUUUAAUUCGAAGCAACGCGAAGAACCUUACCAGGUCUUGACAUCCCGAUGCUAUUCUUAGAGAUAGGAAGUUACUUCGGUACAUCGGAGACAGGUGGUGCAUGGUUGUCGUCAGCUCGUGUCGUGAGAUGUUGGGUNNNNNNNCGCAACGAGCGCAACCCUUAUUGUUAGUUGCCAUCAUUAAGUUGGGCACUCUAGCGAGACUGCCGGUAAUAAACCGGAGGAAGGUGGGGAUGACGUCAAAUCAUCAUGCCCCUUAUGACCUGGGCUACACACGUGCUACAAUGGUCGGUACAACGAGUUGCGAGCCGGUGACGGCAAGCUAAUCUCUGAAAGCCGAUCUCAGUUCGGAUUGGAGGCUGCAACUCGCCUCCAUGAAGUCGGAAUCGCUAGUAAUCGCGGAUCAGCACGCCGCGGUGAAUACGUUCCCGGGCCUUGUNC